ACUUCCUCUUUCUGUUCUGACAUCAUCAAUCCACUUUGUAGUUUGCUGGAAUGAGUUAACAUUUGUGAUAUCGUAAACUACUACAGCUGCAGCAGAAUCACGGAUGUACCUGGGAAUGAGGCUACGGAGACGUUCCUGACCCGCCGUAUCCCACAGCCGAAGCCCGAUUGUUCCAUCCUCCAAGAACACCAGCUUGAAUUUCCUCAGCGGAUUCCCGAAGUCUCCGCCCGCGGACAUGGUGGAACUAGAGGAGCUGUCGCCGCCUCAGCCCAGAGACCUCCCGGACCGAUGCUCCUCCAGCCGGCUGACGAAAAAGGAAAUAGCAAUGUUUUUUGAGUAUGGCAAGUGUUUCCAAGCAUUCAGAAGUGGAGAGUGUAGGAUAUCCACUGCAAAAUGAGGUCUGCUUGUCAUCCUCUUAGUCUCCACUGCUAUCCCUCCCUCAUCUCUCUCUGUUUCAUUGAGACCAAAAGACUAGGAGCCUGGCUUCUAGUUUUCAAAAGAGCUAAGUGACUGACCUAGGCUGAUGACUCGCAAUCCUCGUUUUACAGUUGAACCACCUGAGGAGCUUUUUCAAAAUACACAUGUCUGGUUUCCAGACCCAGAGAUUCUGAUUGGAUGAGAAAACUGAUUUGGAGAGAUACUGAGUGAUUUGCCCAGGUCACAGCUGGUAGGUAGCCACGCUAGGAUUUAAAUCUGGUCUAUCUUGAAAACAUUUGAUCUGAAGCCAUACCAGUGCGUUUUACUCCAUGCAGCCAUCCGAAUCACAUGAGAAACAGUCUUAUAAUACUGUGCCCCAGAGAGUAGCCAGCCAGACUGGUUCUCAGGGACUAGUGUACCAUCCAAAAUACAUUUAUUAGAAAACAAGAAAGAAGAAAAAUAAACAAACCAUCCAAGAUAAGAAGCCAGAGAAAAGCAGCAAAAUAAAUCCAAUGAAAGUAAUGGAAGGUAUACAUUUUAAAAAACAAUAUAGAAGACAAUAACUCCCAUGAAACUGUAAGAUUAACAUUCUGGUGUUUAAAUUUUGUUUUUUCUUUUUUAGGCAUAAAGGCAACACAAGUGGUCAGGCUCAGCUACUCUGGUUCCUACAGACUUUCCCCUUUGGGAUAGCGUCUCUCACCAUCUUGACUGCUUACCAACAGAAGCGCCAAAACCAAACUUGAGGAUGUCCACAAGCUUGCUCUACACUUCUACAUUCAUCCUCAUCUUUUUUGUGUGUGUUUGUGGGGUAGGGGAGGUGCAGUGUUUACUCAGUGAUCUUUCUACUUUCUAGAAAGUGUCUGUCCUUCAAAACUAUUUAAGAGCCUCUCAUUAGUCAUUUUUUCUCUUAUAUGCUCUGGUUGAGCUUGAAUAGACCAGUUGUUGCUUAAGAAAGAAACUGAAAAGAUUUUAGCUUUUCAGUCCUAUUUGGCAGAGGACUUCAGCUACCUUCUUAUGGUCUUUGGCUGUGUUGGUGCCCUCAUGUGCUCUGGGCUAAGCCACAUACUAAAUUGACUUUUUGGUUUGUAUACCCUUGCUCUCGCCUUCUGAUGAAAACACCUUACCCUCACCACCACCAUCUUUGCUCUCCUUUCCCAAAACUCUUUCCGCCUUGCUGCACUAAGAUAGUGACACCUCCACCACACGUCAAUUCCACACACAUUUAUUAGGUACCUGUGAAGCAGGAUCUUAUCCUCUUAAACUUCCACUUCUCACACUAGAGAGAAAGAUAAGGAAGAUGAGCAAGUGCCUGGAAUGGGGCAGGCUGAGUGGUCACACAGGCACAGAGGCACACUGAGAACCUACAGGGGAGACUGCAGAGUGCCUUCCCUGAUGCUGCAGCUGGAAGUCAUCCUUCCCUCCACCUGGCCCCUGAGACACUCUACUCUGUAGUGUGCAGUCUGAUGGCACUGCUAGAUUUCUUUUUCAGCUCAGGGCCACAGCUUAAACAGCUUUACCUUUCCCCUCAGCACCUGUCCCACUACCUUGCACACAGGUACUCUAUCCGUGUUUAUUGAACAAAGGAGGGAAACUGAUUUCACUUUCACUUGUUCAUUAUCAUUCCAAUUUUUAUGUGAAAAUGGCACAACCCAUUUGGGGUACACUCAUCUCAAAAGAAAAGCCCAAGACUACCUCUGACUGGUACCACCUUUUUUGUGGGUUCCUUGGUGAGAAACCUUUAUCUUUUUCAUACUUUUCUAUUCUCCAUCACUUCUCCAAAAGUGUCUCUUUCCAGCUCUGAUUUAUUCAAAACACACAAACAUUCCUGUUUAGAGAUUCUAGCCCAUGGAUUAUCCGGCUAGUUAGUACCUCUCCUGUUCACUUGGUUAUACUUUAUUAUUGCUCAGAGGUUGGGGAGGCAGAAUGACUGUGUCCCCUCACCCUGGCAGAAUGACUGUGUCACCACUAGGAGCCAUUAGGGCUUCUUCCCAGGAGGACUGCCUGCUUGCUUUCUGGGGACUAGCCCUUAUUUCCCUUCUGUGGUCCAGUGGGGCAAGUGAUUUGUAUUAGACAAAUAUUUAUAAGAAACAACCCCCUCCCCAAAAUAGAGCCACCAAGUAAAGCACAAGCCUGAAAGAUGAUGAACUAUGAAUUGUCUCUAGUGGAUAUAAAUUUCUGCAAAUAUAUCUCAGUCUUUCUCUCUUUUCUCUGGUGAUUAAAAAGUUGGUUUUUGGUAAGGAAAAGGAUUUUUGACCAUAGAGUUAUGCAUCAUGGAAAUUCAAACCCGAUUUCUUAAUACCUGGUCUUCUCCGAAGAGAAAUAAUGAUAGUAAUAGUGGUGCUGGGAACAAUAUGGAAGAUUAUUGAAUGAAAUGGAUUAACUUGAAUAAAAUGCUGUGAAUUAUCUCUA
rnacentral:lncRNA from 1 species